GCGGAGCCCGGGGGCCGAAAACGCCCUGGCAGAGGUGGGUGCUACAACGUUGAGCCCUCCGGACAUCGCAUUUCGGGGUGGAGCCCCUCUGGGCCGCAUGGCCAACCAGAUCCCCCCUGAGAUCCUGAACAACCCUCAGCUGCAGGCAGCCAUUCAAGUCCUGCCUUCCAAUUAUAACUUUGAGAUCCCCAAGACCAUCUGGAGGAUCCAGCAGGCCCAAGCCAAAAAGGUGGCCUUGCAAAUGCCGGAAGGCCUCCUUCUCUUUGCCUGCACCAUUGUGGAUAUCUUGGAAAGGUUCACAGAAGCUGAAGUGAUGGUGAUGGGUGACGUGACCUAUGGGGCUUGCUGUGUGGAUGACUUUACUGCAAGGGCCCUGGGAGCUGACUUCCUGGUGCAUUAUGGCCACAGUUGCCUGGUUCCCAUGGACACCUCGGCUCAAGACUUCUGGGUGCUGUAUGUCUUUGUGGAUAUCCGAAUAGAUACUACCCACCUACUGGCUUCUAUCCGCCUCACCUUUCCCCCAGCCAGUGCCCUUGCCCUGGUCAGCACCAUCCAGUUUGUGUCAACCUUGCAGGCAGCUGCCCAGGAGCUGAAAGCUGAGUAUCAUGUGAGUGUACCACAGUGCAAACCUCUGUCCCCUGGGGAGAUUCUGGGCUGCACAUCCCCCUACCUGCCCAAGGAGACAGAAGCUGUUGUAUAUCUUGGAGAUGGCCGCUUCCAUCUGGAGUCUGUCAUGAUUGCCAACCCCAAUGUCCCUGCUUACCGAUACGAUCCAUAUAGCAAAGUCCUAUCCAGAGAGCACUAUGACCACCAGCGUAUGCAGGCCAACCGCCAAGAAGCCAUAGCCACUGCCCGCUCUGCUAAAUCCUGGGGCCUUAUUCUGGGCACUUUGGGCCGCCAGGGCAGCCCCAAGAUUCUGGAGCACCUGGAAUCUCGGCUCCAAGCCUUGGGACUACCCUUCGUGAGGCUGCUGCUCUCUGAGAUAUUCCCCAGCAAGCUUAGCCUACUUCCUCAGGUGGAUGUGUGGGUGCAGGUGGCAUGUCCACGCCUCUCCAUUGACUGGGGCACAGCCUUUCCCAAGCCGCUGCUGACACCCUAUGAGGCGGCAGUGGCCCUGAGGGACAUUUCCUGGCAGCAGCCCUACCCCAUGGACUUUUAUGCUGGCAGCUCCUUGGGGCCAUGGACAGUGAACCACGGACGGGACCGGCCCCCCCGGACCCCAGGUCGGCCUGUGCUGAGGAAGGUGCAGGAGGAAUCCACGCGCCCCUCUUCAGAUGCGACUUGCGAGGGUUGCAGCUGCAGAGACAAGGGGGAGCCGCUUACUCCUUGAGGCGCCCCCGGGUCUCAGGGCCCUGCCCUCCAGAGGAGCAGAUUCGAGGCUGGUGGUUUUCAGAACAGGAGGCAGACGUUUUCUCCGCACUGAAAGAGCCCACAGUGUGCAGAGGAAUCUAUCCUGCAGGGCCCCUUGUCACUGCCUUCACUCCAUGUUUUUGGGGACACUGACCGUGUCAUCCCCUCUGAGGAGAGUGUGC